AAUAACUCUCAAUGUACAUAUGGGCAUUUUAGCAUUGUAGUCAUGUUUGCUUGAAGAAAUGUGUUUAGUUAUUCAUUUGCUUCUUUUAUUUAUUCUCCUGUCAGAAGAGAGAGGUCUUUGCAACAACAACCUGAGGCUGGUGAGAGACCACACAACAGAGCAGAGGAGACAGAUGAACUUCAUGCGAGCGUACAGUGCGUUAGGAACCAGCCAGAGGCUCUCUACUCCAACUUCAGCCCAGCUCAGCCCCUCAGAAACAAGGAGGAGGUUGUUUACGCGACCCCCAUCUUCAACAGUGCCGCAGGAACAAGGCGUCAAGCAGCUGUGGAGGAUGUAUCUGCCCUGUACAGCAGAGUUAAUAGAAGCCACUGAGUGUGAUGACAACAUGGAUCUGUGGUCUGUAUUUAUGCAUGGACUUUCGAUGGGCCCAUUAAAUUUUUCCUCAAGACAGAAUUGGUUAAGAGUGCAAAAUUAAGGCAACAAUAUUUCAUUUAUAUCUUAUAUUAAUGAAGGACAGGUAGAUUAAAUAUUAGAUACCUCUCUAACGGUUACAUUAAAACCUUCAUGAAAGUAGGAUUUAUCACAGGACAGUUGUGUUGAACGGCAUUAGUUUUAGAUCAGUGUACUUAAUAAUACACUUCCAUCUUUUCAGGACAAUGUUUUUUUUCUUGUCUUUUUUUUUUACUGUUUUGAUUAUUAUAUGAUCACAACUGUUACAAUGUAAGUCAUUCACAUCUAUUGCCAAUAUUUUUAUGCUCAUUUUCUGAAUUUGUAUUUUAUUGUCAUUUCAAACUGAGUAUUUACAUUUCUUUACAUGUUUUGUAUUGUUUUUUCUUGCAUGGGAAAUAGUGAGUAAGACUCCUUGUGUUUGGCCUGAUGAGUGACAGCUUGGAAACACUUGUACAAAAUGUAAAUGGAUAUAAACUUUAUUUUUAGCUGCA